rnacentral:tmRNA from 1 species
GGGGCCGACUGGUUUUGACAGCGAGACCAAUGGCUAUGUAAGCAUGCCGAGCGCUGGGAUACAGCUCGUUAAUCUCAUAUUUCACACUUUUAAAUGGCGAAUCUAAUUACGCUCUUGCCGCUUAAUCUGAAUUAUAGUAGGAUUUAGCCUCGUCUCUGCUAGGCAGAGAAGCGAGAUGUCCCUGGAUAGCCCUUGUUGACGGCGAUCUUUUUAGGGGCACCAGAAAAGUCAACACAGCCUCUUUACAGCUUCGAUAAAGGGGUAAACUAAAGAAGCUAAGUGUGUAUUAGGCGGUUUUUGGUCAGGUACACAUCGAAAAUCAAACAAAAACUAAGCAUGUAGAAAGUAUAGUAAUUGCUUGUUUGGACGAGGGUUCGAAUCCCUCCGGCUCCACGA